rnacentral:snoRNA from 2 species
CCAGUGUGGCAUCCUGUGGGCUGGCCCCUACUGGCUCUGCCUUCAUGGCGCGAUGGAGCAAAGUGUUUAUUGCACACUUCCCAUGAUGUCUAUUCCUAGCCAUGACAUUGGAGAUCAAAACUGUCCCCAGGUAUCUUCACAUUGUGUGUUGAUCUCUGGCUUGGUACGGUGCAUUGCAUAUUCCUUGUGCUUCCCAGAGUCACUUGUUGGCACUGACUGGGGGGAUAAACCAUGCAAUGAACAUCU